ensembl:lncRNA
CCGCUUCCCACGCGUGCUCCCCGCCUCGCGGUGGCCCCGCGCGUGUUCCCUAUCUCAGGGCGUCCCCACGCCCUGCUCCGGGGUUCCCAAACCUCUCACCCCCCAUGCACCCCAUUCGCCUCCUGACACCCCCUGGGCAGUGCAGGGCACGGGGUUGCGUGACUGCUGCGCUGCCCUCUGCCACCAAAGCAGACAAAUAUCCUAAAUAAGAGCUGAAGAAUCCUACCAACUUCAGUGUCACGAGAGAGAACGCUGCCGCUGGAACGCCACGUCUGCGCAUUGCUGUGCGUGGAAGGGCCCCGACGGCUCAUGCUGCUGUCCCGCAGGUGGCACCGUGUGUGAGCUGGGGGUAUCCGCAGCCGCUCCGCCCGCCCUGUUAACAGAGGAGCCGACCGCACGCAGGGGGAGCUUUGUGGUUGAACACAGCGGUGAGCGAGGUGCUGGAAUCAGGAAACACGAUGCAGGGCAGUUCCAGCGGUGCGUGCUUCUGGCUCGGGGACUCAGCUGUAGCGAGUGGCUUUGGAAAGCAGGGACAUGUGGGGCAGUCAAGAGUGCAGGGGAGCACUAAUAACCUUAGUUAAUUACCAGGACUUUUCAGUGCCCACCGUUGAGAUAAAGGGGUCCAUACGAUCCAUGCAACAUAUGACUGCAACCGGCUGGUGGAAGGCUGUAGCAUCCCGUUGGCUUUCACAGACUUUGCACCAGUUGAAGGCCGACGUCUGGGGAUGCAUGACAAACUCUUGUACUGAAUGGAUGUUCCACUGAUGCUAUAGGAGAUCAUCCUCAGCACAGUGCCUGUUACCAUAUCUCCUAGGUUUUGAACACUCCAAGCUGGUCUGGAUAUGGUUUGAACGUGCAGAAAACCUCAGGGUUCGUACAACACACUUGGCCAGGACACUGGGCAGUGUCAGCCUCAUCCCAGGACACUGCUGCAAGCUUCCCAGCCUUGUGCAGAAUGUCUGAAGAUUCUUUCAAAUUUGUACAUGCUGACGUAAACAGAGCCCCUUGCUGCGGAAAUAAAACUGCAGGGAAUUUCUGGCAGUGUUUGGAAUGAUACAUAGUUUUGUGGUGACCUCUCCAUAGCAAGCACAAAGUUCUGUAUCUGCUUGGCACCAAGCAAAAUGUUUGGCAUGACUUGAAACGCCCUGAGAACCAUAGUCACCUCUUAAGGUCCUUGUCCCAACUGAUCCCUGCAGAAGCAGUGAAAAGGCAUCAUUGCUCUUUUUUUAAUCCAGGAGAAGCUGAAUGAUGGAAAGGUUAAGCGAGUUUCUCAGGGACACAUAGGAAAUCAAUAGCAGAACAGAACCUCCUAGCCAUAUUUCCUAAACAUCCCAUGCACACCCUUAAAGAAACUUUAAAGGAGGUUUCAUCCUACUGCCAAGCAGAUGCUGGGCUUCCCCAGCCACACAGCUGAGCACCCAUAGCUGUUGGACAGCUCCAGCCCCACAUCGCACCCAUGGCUCUCCCCCUCAAUGCUGCCCUGUGGUUUCAGCUCAUUUCCUGGAGUGCAGAAAAAAAGAAAGCCCUGGGGUUCAGCAGCAGUCUGACAACAGCUGACCUUUAUAUGAUAAGCAAUGUUCCUCAGCAGUGUGCAUCAGUUUGCAUCAGUUUAUAUUUAUUUUGCUCGUCUCUUGUAAGCAUCCAAUGUGAAGCUGAUUGGAUGGGACAGGCAGGAUCUCAGCAUCUUGAAGUAAUCUGUAAGGAGCCGGCAGCAGAGAGUCAUUAGCAGUUUCUAUGGACAGCUUUGAGGAAUUUGUCUGUGCUAAAGACUGUUCUCAUGUCAGAGGAUUGAGAAAGGCUCGGCGAGCAGGGUUGUGUUUGUCUUGGAAGAUCUUUGGGGAAUCACAGGGCGAGUUGGAAGAGACUGAUAGAAAUCUCCCCAUCCAGGCUUCUACGUGAGCCUCUGAGAAGAUGCUGCUCUUCCAGUGUCCCUCUAUCUCUUCUGAUUAACUCACUGCUAAAAGGUGAUGUCAUGGACUCAUCCUCACUGCGUUUAUCCAAGUAUGCAGCAUGUUUCUUCCUGUAAAAAUGACAAAAUGCCACCGAAAUUGGGGCAUGAUUUAGGGAC